rnacentral:rRNA from 1 species
UGUGGAAGGAACCCCCAGGUGGCGAAGGGCGGCUUUCUUGGUCUGUAAACUGACGCUGANGGCGCGAAAAGCGUGGGGAGCAAACCAGGGAUUAGAUACCCCUGGUAGUCCACGCCGUAAACGAUGAGUGCUAAGUGUUAGGAGGGGUUUCCGCCCUUUAGUGCUGCAGCUAACGCAUUAAAGCACUCCGCCUGGGGAGGUACGGCCGCAAAGGCUGAAACUCAAAGGAAUUGAUCGGGGGCCCGCACAAGCGGUGGAGGCAUGUGGUUUAAUUCGAAGCAACGCGAAGGAACCUUACCAGGUCUUGACAUCCUCUGACACUCCUAGAGGAUAGGGACUUUCCCCUUCGGGGGACAGAGUGACAGGUGGUGCAUGGUUGUCGUCAGCUCGUGUCGUGAGAUGUUGGGUUAAGUCCCGCAACGANGCGCAACCCUUGAUCUUA